UUACACAUGCAAGUCGAGCGGGGGAAGGUAGCUUGCUACUGGACCUAGCGGCGGACGGGUGAGUAAUGCUUAGGAAUCUGCCUAUUAGUGGGGGACAACAUCUCGAAAGGGAUGCUAAUACCGCAUACGUCCUACGGGAGAAAGCAGGGGAUCUUCGGACCUUGCGCUAAUAGAUGAGCCUAAGUCGGAUUAGCUAGUUGGUGGGGUAAAGGCCUACCAAGGCGACGAUCUGUAGCGGGUCUGAGAGGAUGAUCCGCCACACUGGGACUGAGACACGGCCCAGACUCCUACGGGAGGCAGCAGUGGGGAAUAUUGGACAAUGGGGGGAACCCUGAUCCAGCCAUGCCGCGUGUGUGAAGAAGGCCUUAUGGUUGUAAAGCACUUUAAGCGAGGAGGAGGCUACUUUAGUUAAUACCUAGA
rnacentral:rRNA from 1 species